rnacentral:rRNA from 1 species
GUGAGGAAUAUUGGUCAAUGGCCGGAAGGCUGAACCAGCCAAGUCGCGUGAGGGAGUGAGGCCCUACGGGUCGUGAACCUCUUUUGCCGGGGAGCAAGGCCCUCCACGUGUGGAGGGAAGGAGAGUACCCGGAGAAAAAGCAUCGGCUAACUCCGUGCCAGCAGCCGCGGUAAUACGGAGGAUGCGAGCGUUAUCCGGAUUUAUUGGGUUUAAAGGGUGCGUAGGCGGCGUUCCAAGUCAGCGGUAAAAUUGCGGGGCUCAACCCCGUAGAGCCGUUGAAACUGGCGCGCUGGAGUGGGCGAGAAGUAUGCGGAAUGCGUGGUGUAGCGGUGAAAUGCAUAGAUAUCACGCAGAACCCCGAUUGCGAAGGCAGCAUACCGGCGCCCCACUGACGCUGAGGCACGAAAGUGCGGGGAUCAAACAGGAUUAGAAACCCCAGUAGUCC